CAUGAAUCUGUUCAAGUGUUCGGGUGGCGUCCAUUCUUCCGAACGGGGAUGGCGAAUGUUCCAAGGAUCGAACAUUCGGAGGCCAAAGUUGUCCAGGAAUAUCUCUGAACCUUCUUGUGGGUUGUCCAAGGUUGUGGCCACGGAUUCCUGGGGCUCACCCAGGGUCUGUUCCCUUACGAGAUAAGGGUCAGAGUUGGCAGCGGAGUCCCAGUCGGAUUCCUCCUUGUCGGAGGCUGCCGUCUGCCAUUCAUCAACCACGGCUAGAGUGUGUGCUGGUCCUGCAUCAUCUUCCCCCUAGGAAGCCUGAGCGGGUUUUUGGGAUGAUCUGCUCGUGUC